CGCGGGGUGGAGCAGUCUGGUAGCUCGUCGGGCUCAUAACCCGAAGGUCGUUGGUUCGAAUCCGGCCCCCGCAACCA
rnacentral:tRNA from 7 species